rnacentral:lncRNA from 1 species
AUCGCAAAAAUAUUUCAACCCCCGUAGCGGAAUAGCGAAAUAGUUCGCUACAUUUUUUAAGCAGUAGCUGUAGUCAGUAGCGAACUGCCUUUGUUCAAAAGUAGCAGUAGUUAUAGCUGACUGCAUAUUUUUGAAGUAGCUGUAGUUAUAGCGAACUACAAAAAUUUUGUACUCAACCCACCCUUGCCUUCAAAUGCAAUUCGAAGUUUUAUAACCAACAGCAACUGUUUUCAAAUUAUCGCUCGCCCACGAAGGAAGUUUCUGAUUGGAAAAUUAUGGUCACAUGGGAACAUAUAUGACUGAUACUAUAAAGUAGGAGGUCUGUGCUUAUUACUGAUGUCAGCAAAAAUUUGUUGAUGUUGGAUUCAUAGAUAAAUAUAUAGUCGAGUAAAUGCGAUGUUUUGGGCCAAUUUAAUGAGGGAAAUAUUUUGGCUGUACUAUAUGUCAGGUUUACUUAAGCUGCUUGUUCGCCUGAAGAGAUCUAACAAAAUAUAAUGCCGCAAAUGGAAAAGAAUUGAAUUCUUAUUAGAAAUUAAUUAUAAUACAAUCAAACGUUUCGUUUCACAAUUACUUAACUUAACUGUAGGUGUUAUGAAAACAAAUAUGCGUUUAAAGUUAUGAAUUUAGUAAUUGACAUAGGCUGUAUAACCAUUUUAUCUGCACUGAUGUAGGACUAAAAUUUUCUACGUCCAAUUUGUUUCAUUAUAUUUGUACAAAAUAGUUUUGAAGUAAAUAGGUUAAUUAAUGUACACUACAAUUCAAAAACUAACUAAAUAUUCCUAUGGUAAAGGCUAAAUCAUUAAUCAUGCUUUAUAGAAAGGGCGUGUGUGUGAAUAGCCGACAUACUUUAUUAUUUAACUUGCGCGACGUUAACAGCAUUGUGAAUGAACGCUCUUCAAUUUUAGUUUCAAAAGCUUCGUUAUUCUGGGAGAAUGAGCCAAAUCCCAAGUAGAUAAGCAAGGUUCAUUUCCCACCAAUGCAUAUGGAAACAGACUGUAAAUAAUUCCAUUUUCACCGAGACAUUCCCGCAGAGGUAUUCGCUUACCCAUUGAUGGUGAUCGUGAAAUAUCAUAAAUAAAAUAUAAUACAGUACUUUCUAUAAAUCAGCUUCUUUUAAAAUUUCUUCACAAAUCUUUUUAUAAGCCCACGUAUCACCUUUCAAGCGUUUCCGUCGAAUACCUACAAAAUAAUUACGACUGAUUAAUCAUUAAUGAUUAUAUACUUUACACCAAGUUCACUUGCCUAUAAGACUACGUUCACAAUACGCUGGACGGCUUGAGCGGUUUGUAGACCGCGAGCAGUCCCUCAGGAGAAAGGAGGAACUGCCGACAACACAUCAAGAAACGAAAUAUACGCGAUGCCCACACAACGCAAAAUUCCCAUUGGUCGAAAUCGAUGUGCCUCAUGUCAAUCAAAUCUGCUAUGUAGUAAUAAUGCUAUAAAUAAUUUCCAGACUGAAUGUCGUAACACGACAGGCGUAAAUUAACGGCUCCUUUUUGGAUAUAUCUAAUUUAAUUGGAAAUAAGUAAUGUUUAUGCAAAGGCGGAGCCAACUUGAUAAGAGCGAAAAGUGGGCGUAUUUCGUUUCUUCCCUCCUUUUCCCUCGCAUGCCCUGGAACCUAACCCACGGAAUGGAGGGACCGCUCACAGUCUAGAGCGGUUUAAGAAUGGCGCGGAAAAGUCACAUUUAGCCGUCGUGUUCACACUACACCGGAGCGAAAUUGUUUGAAGACGUCACUUUCGCCGUAACAAUUUGAGCAUGGUUUCUAAACGGAGAGAGAUGUAAACGGAGCGCUUGGCGGCUUCGUGUAAACAGCGGCACCGGCUUUAUCUUGCUCCACUUUACCAUUUUUUAUUAUUUUUUAAUUUAGCAUAUGUUUUUAUUAACUUUUUAUUAUUAUUUUUUAAUUUCUUAAUAUUUUUUCAUUAUUUGAGCUCGUUUUGCGAACCGUACCGAAAUCGUAACAGCUUAGUGUGAACAGACGUAAAACGUAGCGUCAUUAUGUUCCUAGCUCCGGUGUAGUGCAUAUGAAAUGCAAAUACAGCAGUGAAACUGGAAGCGGGUUAUUAUAUGUGCUACAUCCAAAUAAUUACACUGGCCUGUAAGGCCAAGUGUCUUAAAUCCCCCUUUUUCUGUUUUUUUCGUAGUCGAGACAUCGAGUUUGCGUUAGCUCAUCGCAGGCUCAGAGUGCAACGAUUAAGCCAAAAUGCCAUCGAUUCCCUCGGUUCCAUGAUUUAGAUACUAUAGUAAUAAGCUCGUAUAUAUGUACGUAAUAGCCGACUCAUGCCAUGCUUGUAAUACAUUUUUCGUUUAUUAGCCUAUACACUUGUACGCACAAUUCCGAACUGCAAUGGCGGCUUUUCACAGAGUGAUCAAACUAUAUUUUACACAGUUUCGUUGAAUUUUCAAAGAAUUGUGCCGGUUUCCUAUGUAUUUUACGUUGUGUCGUACUCUGGACUUUCUUGCGUGUUGAAUUAAUGUGUUUUUCUUUGUGUAAUGACUCGAAAACCACAAAAUAUAAUAUUUAGUACUCCACGAAAAUAAAAAGCUUUGUGGUAGCUAUACUAAAGAUAAAGCGUGCGUUCAAAAUACCAACAAGAACAGGAACCAUUAUUGUAUCAUUUGUAUGGUUCUCAUUUGCUAGACUUGCCACAAG